UAGUUUUCCGGUUCUGUCGCUGGUAUUUUAAUGUACAAGAGGAAAGUCCGGGCGGCAUAGGGUAUCUUGCUUCCGAAAAUAGAAGCUAUUGGCAACAGUAGAUGUAGGUAGAAGAAAAUAACCGCCAAAAUAUUGGUAAGGGUGAGAAGGUAGUGUAAGAGACUACCAACAGGUGGGUGAUCACCUGGUUGUACCGUUCAGGAGCCGCAAGUUCAUGUAAACCGUUGUUUGAGGGCUACCCACUCAAAACUUUAAGUUACAACGGAGGGUAGAACGCUUUACUGCAAGGGUGACCUUUCAGAUAGAUAAAUGACAGACAUCUUCAUAUUAUCGAAAGAUGAUGAAGAUACGGAACCCGGCUUACAAGGAUUGCUACUUA
rfam:Prevotella corporis strain MJR7716 genomic scaffold Scaffold551, whole genome shotgun sequence.